rnacentral:rRNA from 1 species
AUGCCUACGGGAGGCAGCAGUAAGGGAUAUUGGUCAAUGGGGGAAACCCUGAACCAGCAACGCCGCGUGAGGGAAGACGGUUUUCGGAUUGUACGCCUCUGUCCUCUGUGAAGAUGAUGACGGUAGCAGAGGAGGAAGCUCCGGCUAACUACGUGCCAGCAGCCGCGGUAAUACGUAUGGUGCAAGCGUUAUCCGGAUUUACUGGGUGUAAAGGGAGCGUAGGCGGCGCGUUAAGUCUGAUGUGAAAACCCGAGGCUCAACCACGGGAGUGCAUUGGAAACUGGCGGGCUGGAGUGCCGGAGAGG